CSKUGSGGAGCUUACMCAUGCAGUCGAACGGGGCUUUUCGGAGCCUAGUGGCGGACGGGUGAGUAACGCGUGAGAAUCUAGCUUCAGGUUCGGGACAACAUUGGGAAACCGAUGCUAAUACCGGAUGUGCCGAGAGGUGAAAGGCUAGCUGCCUGAAGAUGAGCUCGCGUCUGAUUAGCUAGUUGGUGGUGUAAGGGACUACCAAGGCGACGAUCAGUAGCUGGUCUGAGAGGAUGAUCAGCCACACUGGAACUGAGACACGGUCCAGACUCCUACGGGAGGCAGCAGUGGGGAAUUUUCCGCAAUGGGCGAAAGCCUGACGGAGCAAUACCGCGUGAGGGAGGAAGGCUCUUGGGUUGUAAACCUCUUUUCUCAAGGAAUAACACUGAAGGKACUUGAGGAAUCAGCAUCGGCUAACUCCGUGCCAGCARCCGCGGUAAUACGGAGGAUGCMAGCGUUAUCCGGAAUGAUUGGGCGUAAAGCGUCCGCARGUGGGUGGGUGUAUCUAUUGGYCAAGGGGCCAGCUUAMACUGGUAWAGGGAGUGGAAAWACACCAA
rnacentral:rRNA from 1 species